rnacentral:sRNA from 1 species
UUGCCGAGAAGGUCUUUAAUUCGCGUCCAAACACCCCUGUUGGAGCUGAAAGUCCAUGAGCACUGUCCUAGCCCUUGAUUGAACUUCUGGUUUAAUUUGUAUAAAGUCCCAAUAUACAACACAGCUUAAUUUCAGUUACUGUGGGUGUGAUACUCAGUAAUUUGAGUAAAUGGUUAUGUGAGAUAUGCAGCUUGGUCCUUGAUAUCCCCAGUUAUUAGGCUUCUUUUUUCAAGAUUGAUGCCCAGUUAGUAGUUCAGUUUACUUUUAUGAAGUGAAGUUAAGAGUUAAGUGUUGUACUGCAGUUAUUUAUAUCUCUGUUGUUUAGAUGUAUAUUCUAGAUGUUCUGCUUUAUUGUCAUGGCUUUGAAAGAACCAACUAAAGCUU